CCUACGGGAGGCAGCAGUGAGGAAUAUUGGUCAAUGGACGAGAGUCUGAACCAGCCAAGUAGCGUGAAGGAUGACUGCCCUAUGGGUUGUAAACUUCUUUUAUAUGGGAAUAAAACGUUCCACGUGUGGGAUUUUGUAUGUACCAUAUGAAUAAGGAUCGGAUAACUCCGUGCCAGCAGCCGCGGUAAUACGGAGGAUCCGAGCGUUAUCCGGAUUUAUUGGGUUUAAAGGGUGCGUAGGCGGACUGGAAAGUCAGCGGUAAAAUCGAGAGGCUCAACCGUAAAAUUGCAGUUGAAACUGGCAGUCUUGAGUACAGUAGAGGUGGGCGGAAUUCGUGGUGUAGCGGUGAAAUGCUUAGAUAUCACGAAGAACUCCGAUUGCGAAGGCAGCUCACUGGACUGCAACUGACACUGAGGCUCGAAAGUGUGGGUAUCAAACAGGAUUAGAUACACCUGUAGUC
rnacentral:rRNA from 1 species